rnacentral:rRNA from 1 species
AAGAGACAGCAGUCGCCGCGGGAAUACGGAGGGUGCAAGCGUUAAUCGGAAUUACUGGGCGUAAAGCGCACGCAGGCGGUCUGACAAGUCAGAUGUGAAAUCCCCGGGCUUAACCUGGGAACUGCAUUUGAAACUGUCAGGCUGGAGUCUUGUAGAGGGGGGUAGAAUUCCAGGUGUAGCGGUGAAAUGCGUAGAGAUCUGGAGGAAUACCGGUGGCGAAGGCGGCCCCCUGGACAAAGACUGACGCUCAGGUGCGAAAGCGUGGGGAGCAAACAGGAUUAGAUACCCCAGUAGUCCCUGUCUCUUAUAC